UUCAAACGUGAAACAUGUAAUUGUGUUUUGAAUGUACAUGCCUAUUUUCAUUCCAGUAUCUCCAUCUUCAUGUCAGAUACUGUAUCUAUUUAUUUGUGUGUGUGUGUGUGUGUGUGUGUGUGUGUGUGUGUGCACACACACACCCCUCCUUCUCCCCUUGAAA